AGCAGCCGCGGUAAUUCCAGCUCCAAUAGCGUAUAUUAAAGUUGCUGCAGUUAAAAAGCUCGUAGUUGAAUUUCGGGACUAAUAUGUCGGUCGUGCCUCGGUACGUACUGGUUUAUUGGUUUCUCCUUUCUGAAGAACCAUGAUGUCAUUUAUUUGGUGUCGUGGGAAAUCAGGACUGUUACUUUGAAAAAAUUAGAGUGUUUAAAGCAGGCUCACGCUUGAAUACAUUAGCAUGGAAUAAUGAAAUAGGACGUUUGAUUCUAUUUUGUUGGUUUCUAGGAUCGACGUAAUGAUUAAUAGGGAUAGUUGGGGGCAUUAGUAUUCAAUUGUCAGAGGUGAAAUUCUUGGAUUUAUUGAAGACUAACUACUGCGAAAGCAUUUGCCAAGGAUGUUUUCAUUAAUCAAGAACGAAAGUUAGGGGAUCGAAGACGAUCAGAUACCGUCGUAGUCUUAACCAUAAACUAUGCCGACUAGGGAUCGGAUGAUGUUAAUUUUUUAAUGACUCAUUCGGCGCCUUACG
rnacentral:rRNA from 2 species